AGUCGAACGGUGGUAGCAAUACCAUAGUGGCGCACGGGUGCGUAACACGUAACUAACCUACCUAUAACUGGGGGAUAGCCCGCCGAAAGGCGGAUUAAUACCGCAUAAGCUGUUUGAGUGGCAUCACUCGAUUAGUAAAGAUUUAUUGGUUAUAGAUGGGGUUGCGGGUCAUUAGCUAGUUGGUAAGGUAACGGCUUACCAAGGCGACGAUGACUAGGGGAGCUGAGAGGCUGGUCCCCCACACGGGCACUGAGAUACGGGCCCGACUCCUACGGGAGGCAGCAGUAGGGAAUAUUGGGCAAUGGGCGAGAGCCUGACCCAGCCAUGCCGCGUGCAGGAAGAAGGCUUUCUGAGUCGUAAACUGCUUUUGACAGGGAAGAAUAAGGUGUACGUGUACACUGAUGACGGUACCUGCAGAAUAAGCACCGGCUAACUCCGUGCCAGCAGCCGCGGUAAUACGGAGGGUGCGAGCGUUGUCCGGAUUUAUUGGGUUUAAAGGGUGCGUAGGCGGCUUUUUAAGUCUGGGGUGAAAGCCCGCUGCUCAACAGCGGAACUGCCCUGGAUACUGGAGAGCUUGAGUACAGACGAGGUUGGCGGAAUGGACAGAGUAGCGGUGAAAUGCAUAGAUACUGUCCAGAACCCCGAUUGCGAAGGCAGCUGACUAGGCUGUUACUGACGCUGAGGCACGAAAGCGUGGGGAGCGAACAGGAUUAGAUACCCUGGUAGUCCACGCCGUAAACGAUGGAUACUCGCUGCGAGCUAAAGAUUGUUCGUGGCUUAGGGAAACCGAUAAGUAUCCCACCUGGGGAGUACGCUCGCAAGAGUGAAACUCAAAGGAAUUGAC
rnacentral:rRNA from 1 species